CCACUGCUGAGGAGUCCCACAAUAGGACGAAACAGCUGUCCAGUAC
rnacentral:hammerhead_ribozyme from 1 species